AUUGAACGCUAGCGGCAUGCCUAACACAUGCAAGUCGAGCGGAGCGGCGGACGGGUGAGUAAUGCCUAGGAAUCUGCCUGGUAGUGGGGGAUAACGACCCGAAAGGGUCGCUAAUACCGCAUACUAUCAGAUCAGCCUAGUUCGGAUUAGCUAGUUGGUGGGGUAAAGGCCUACCAAGGCGACGAUCCGUAGCUGGUCUGAGAGGAUGAUCAGUCACACUGGAACUGAGACACGGCCCAGACUCCUACGGGAGGCAGCAGUGGGGAAUAUUGGACAAUGGGCGAAAGCCUGAUCCAGCCAUGCCGCGUGUGUGAAGAAGGUCUUCGGAUUGUAAAGCACUUUAAGUUGGGAGGCGGUACCAGCAGAAUAAGCACCGGCUAACUUCGUGCCAGCAGCCGCGGUAAUAC
rnacentral:rRNA from 1 species